GUGCCAGCAGGCCGCGGUAAUACGGAGGGUGCGAGCGUUAAUCGGAAUUACUGGGCGUAAAGCGCAUGCAGGUGGUUUGUUAAGUCAGAUGUGAAAAGCCCCGGGGCUCAACCUCGGAAUUGCAUUUGAAACUGGCAAACUAGAGUACUGUAGAGGGGGUAGAAUUUCAGGUGUAGCGGUGAAAUGCGUAGAGAUCUGAAGGAAUACCGGUGGCGAAGGCGGCCCCCUGGACAGAUACUGACACUCAGAUGCGAAAGCGUAGGGAGCAAACAGGAUUAGAUACCCUGGUAA
rnacentral:rRNA from 1 species